rnacentral:rRNA from 1 species
CCGCCUCGCACUCCCGGGGCGUCUCGUUCUCACUGCGAGAAGAGGCGCACCCAGAGCGUACACGCUGGGACCCGAAAGAUGGUGAACUAUGCCUGGUCAGGACGAAGUCAGGGGAAACCCUGAUGGAGGUCCGUAGCGAUUCUGACGUGCAAAUCGAUCGUCGGAACUGGGUAUAGGGGCGAAAGACUAAUCGAACCAUCUAGUAGCUGGUUCCCUCCGAAGUUUCCCUCAGGAUAGCUGGCGCUCGCUUCUCGCGAGUCUCAUUCGGUAAAGCGAAUGAUUAGAGGCAUUGGGGUCGAAACGGCCUCAACCUAUUCUCAAACUUUAAAUGGGUGAGAUCUCCGGCUUGCUUGAACUGUGAAGCCGCGAGAUAUCGGAUCAGAGUGCCAAGUGGGCCACUUUUGGUAAGCAGAACUGGCGCUGUGGGAUGAACCAAACGCAGAGUUAAAGCGCCUAAAUCGACGCUUAUGGGAUACCAUGAAAGGCGUUGGUAACUUAAGACAGCAGGACGGUGGCCAUGGAAGUCGGAAU